rnacentral:rRNA from 1 species
AUUGAACGCUGGCGGCAGGCCUAACACAUGCAAGUCGAGCGGAUGAGUGGAGCUUGCUCCAUGAUUCAGCGGCGGACGGGUGAGUAAUGCCUAGGAAUCUGCCUGGUAGUGGGGGACAACGUUUCGAAAGGAACGCUAAUACCGCAUACGUCCUACGGGAGAAAGCAGGGGACCUUCGGGCCUUGCGCUAUCAGAUGAGCCUAGGUCGGAUUAGCUAGUAGGUGAGGUAAUGGCUCACCUAGGCGACGAUCCGUAACUGGUCUGAGAGGAUGAUCAGGCACACUGGAACUGAGACACGGUCCAGACUCCUACGGGAGGCAGCAGUGGGGAAUAUUGGACAAUGGGCGAAAGCCUGAUUCAGCCAUGCCGCGUGUGUGAAGAGGGUCUUCGGAUUGUAAAGCACUUUAAGUUGGGAGGAAGGGCAGUAAGUUAGUACCUUGCUGUUUUGACGUUACCAACAGAAUAAGCACCGGCUAACUUCGUGCCAGCCGCCGCAGUAAAAC